rnacentral:rRNA from 1 species
UACCAGCACCCCGAGUGGUCGGGACGAUUAUUGGGCCUAAAGCAUCCGUAGCCGGUUCUACAAGUCUUCCGUUAAAUCCACCUGCUUAACAGAUGGGCUGCGGAGGAUACUACAAGGCUAGGAGGCGGAAGAGGCAAGCGGUACUCAGUGGGUAGGGGUAAAAUCCUCUGAUCCAUUGAAGACCACCAGUGGCGAAGGCGGCUUGCCAAUACGCGCUCGACGGUGAGGGAUGAAAGCUGGGGGAGCAAACCGG